rnacentral:lncRNA from 10 species
UGACGCAGGAAGGAGCCCUCUCACCAUCAUGUCUCCUCACCUCCUCUGGCCGCUAAUAUUGCUGAAGUGGCUAAAUGAGUCCCAGUAUUAAUUAUCUCAGCCAUUUUCAGAGUGAUACUGAGAAGAAAUGAAAUGGAGAUAGGGAAGAAGGAAGCCGCUCCUCUCUACAGGAUGCCAAAUCAAUGCAGGAGGAGAUUCUGAGAACUACUGGACAACGGCCACAGGGGAACAGGGGAUUCAUUCCAUCUCAAAGCCUCACCCUACACAUUAUCUUUAUUAGCUAUAAAAGGGAAAAGGGAUUUGCAAUGGAGAGUUAUGGCAGACUCCAGCCUCAUGAAGUGACACAACUUAGCAUUGCCACCCAGGGGACAAACCCACACUAUGAGUCUGAUUCAGUGCACCAAGAAGGACAAACAUCACUUACUCUGCUAUAACAUAACGCAGUAUAUUAUACACUAACAUAUGUAGUAUAUUACAUUACAUAAUAACAUAGUACAGGCUUCUAGGACACAGUUUAUAGAAGUGCAGAUAAUACUUGAGGCAGUUUCCCAAACUUGCAAAUAAAAACUCUCCACAGGGCUUGUGACUAGCACAUUCCCAAAGCCCCAAACCCAGAAUUCCACCUGCUUAGUGAGCACCUCCAGAGCACUUUUUUUUUUUUUUUUUUUUGAGACGGAGUUUUGCUCUUGUUGCCCAGGCUGGAGUGCAAUGGCAGGAUCUCGGCUCACUGCAACCUCCACCUCCCAGGUUCAAGCGAUUCUCGUGCCUCAGCCUCCUGAGCAGCUGGGAUUACAGGCACCCACCUAAUUUUUGUAUUUUUAGUAGAGAUGGAGUUUCACCAUGUUGGUCAGGCUGGUCUUGAACUCCCAACCUCAGGUGAUCCACCCACCUUGGCCUCCCAAAGUGCUAGGAUUACAGGCACGAGCCACUGCGCUCGGCCAUCUCUAGGGCAUAUUUUUACUGUGCAAUGUGGGAAUCUCUGCCAUAGGGUGGGCUGCCUUUCUAACCCAGUGGCCCGGUUCUAGCAGGACUUCCCCAGUAUGUGGAUGGGGGCACAGGGACUCUUGGGGGGGCCUCAAGGCAUCUGUGAGCUAGGCCUAACCACCGCUACUGAAUGACUGCGAGAUGAGUCCCAGAGCUGGGACGAGAGUGGGCCUGGUACCCUGCCCCAGCCCUCCCCUGACAGGAGUUAGUAAGGGACAGGUUAGCAUGCUAAAGAGAUAGCAAGCUGGUCACAGCCUAGGGCCACCACCCUUCUGUCUUACAAGUCAGAAACAUGUCCUGACUUUGGGGGAGAGGGUAUAUGUUAAACGGGCCCACCCUGGGAGCUGUAGUGGUCACUGUGGAGCUGAGCACUGGGCUGCACUCCUCGCUGCCCCAGAGUGACCAGGUGGGUGGUUUCAUCCAAGAGGCAGGGCUCAGAAGGCCAGGCUGAGCCACCGAUAUGCAUGUCUGCACCCCACCACUUCCUGCUCAGUCUGUAUCAGGCCCGGGAUGAAAUCGUCACUUAGACGCUCAGGGGUCCUCCCACCCAUCUGGCCAACACAAACCUGCCAGCAUAGCACUGAGUGGAAGGUUCCAGUGCACCCACAGGCCUGGCUGUUAAAAUGUCCGGCCUCUCCAGAGGACAGGUUAAGUUCACACUGAGAAAGCCUGGCUCUCUCCAGCUAGCCUGAAUUAAAGUGAGAAGGAUGAGCACAGCACCUGUGGAAAUGGCGCUGGAAAGCAAGUGUACCUAGGAACUGCCUCUGGGCCACCGAAGUGCGCCGGCCCAGUGUUCUCAGACAACCCAGGAGGAGUCCUCCAUCUGGCCACUUCCCACCCGUUAGGCCCCGAGGGGACACCAGGUUGGUGAGACCCGGACCCCACCAGCAAAGGACCCUUCCUUCAUUCAUCACACACUGGCUCCAUCUGCACUGCACCUACUGCCAGCCAGGCACUGAGCUUCACAUCCGCACAAAACACAAAGACCUCUGAUACGGUUUGGGUCUGUGUUCCCACCUAAACCUCGUGGUGAAUUGUGAUUAUGUUGAGUUGUUUUGGAGGUAGGGCCUGGUGAGAAGUGACUCGAUGAUGGGGUGGAUUUCUCAUGAAUGGUUUAGCACCAUCUCCUUGAUGCUGUUCUUAAGAUAGUGAGUUUUCACGAAAUCUGGUUGUUUAAAAGUGUGCGCCCCACCCCUUGCUUCUGCUCUGGCCAUGUGAUCUGCCUGCCUUCCCCUUCGCCUUCCACCAUGAUUGUAAGAUUCCUGAGGCCUCCCCAGAGGCUGAGCAGAUAUCGGUACUACGCUUGCUAUACAGCCUGCAGAACUAUGAGCCAAUUAAACCUCUUUUCUUU